rnacentral:misc_RNA from 1 species
GACGAACCGUGCGAACGUUGUUCGGAAUCACUGGGCUUAAAGGGCGCGUAGGCGGGCAACCAAGUCCGGGGUGAAAGCCCCCGGCUCAACCGGGGAAGUGCCUUGGAUACUGGUUGUCUCGAGGGAGAUAGGGGUCUGCGGAACUUCUGGUGGAGCGGUGAAAUGCGUUGAUAUCAGAAGGAACGCCGGUGGCGAAAGCGGCGGACUGGAUCUCUUCUGACGCUGAGGCGCGAAAGCUAGGGGAGCGAACGGG